rnacentral:rRNA from 1 species
GACGAACGCUGGCGGCGUGCCUAACACAUGCAAGUUGAGCGAGAGACUUCGGUCUCUAGCGGCGGACGGGUGAGUAACACGUGGGUAACCUGCCUCAUAGUGGGGGAUAGCCUUCCGAAAGGAAGAUUAAUACCGCAUAUACUCUCGAUACCACAUGGUAUUUAGAGGAAAGGAGCAAUCCGCUAUGAGAUGGACCCGCGGCGCAUUAGCUAGUUGGUGAGGUAACGGCUCACCAAGGCGACGAUGCGUAGCCGACCUGAGAGGGUGAUCGGCCACAUUGGAACUGAGACACGGUCCAGACUCCUACGGGUGCUG